GGAAGUAAAAGUCAUAACAAGGUUUCCGUAGGUGAACCUGCGGAAGGAUCAUUACAGAGUUCAUGCCCUCACGGGUAGAUCUCCCACCCUUGAAUAUUUAUACCUUAGUUGCUUUGGCAGGCCGUGGAAACACCAUGGGCUCCGGCUUAUGCGUGCCUGCCAGAGGAAACAAACUCUGUUUUUAGUGAUGUCUGAGUACUAUAUAAUAGUUAAAACUUUCAACAACGGAUCUCUUGGUUCUG
rnacentral:misc_RNA from 1 species